GACAGAGGGUGCAAGCGUUGUUCGGAAUUACUGGGCGUAAAGCGUGUGUAGGCGGUCUUCUAAGUCGGGUGUGAAAUCCCUGGGCUCAACCCAGGAAGUGCACUCGAAACUGGAGGGCUAGAGUAUCGGAGAGGUUGGUGGAAUUCUCGGUGUAGAGGUGAAAUUCGUAGAUAUCGAGAGGAACACCGGUGGCGAAGGCGGCCAACUGGACGAAUACUGACGCUGAGACACGAAAGCGUGGGGAGCAAACAGG
rnacentral:rRNA from 1 species